rnacentral:misc_RNA from 1 species
ACAUAGUGUCUCUGUCAUUGCUGCAGACCCUGGAGUUGUGAAAACCAACAUUAUGCGAGAAAUUCCUUCAUCCCUCUCAUGGUUGGCUUUCUUCGUUUUGAAACUUUUGGGCCUUUUGCAGUCCCCCGAAGUAGGAAUUAGCUCUGUUCUAGAUGCAGUACAUGCGCCACCAGAAACCUCGGGAGUAUACUUCUUUGGAGGAAAUGGUAGAACUCUAAGAUCUUCUGGGCUUUCUUAUAACUCCAAACUCGCAAAGGAUCUCUGGGAUGCUUCAUCUCAAAUUUUCCUUGAGCGUCAGCUUACUUCCCAGGAUACAACUGACCAG